CAAUUAUACAGCAAAGUCUCCUGGGAGGGUUUAUAUGUUAAGCUCUGUCAGUAAUUUCUCCCCUAGCAAGAAUGAGGAAGAUGAAGAGCUCGGGUAUCUGAGGGCUGGUGUGUCUGCAUGCGUGUGUGUUUUGGGGGCCGACUGAAGGAAGAGAAGGCUGGAGAGAGGGAACAUGGGUCUGAGGGCACAUCGCUAAGGGGUCAAGAGGCCUAAAGGAGGAGUCUAAGGCUCUCCAUCGAACUUGGACUUGGUCUACAUUAGACUUUAACCUCCAUGAGGCUUGGACUUUCAGGCUUCCUCCCUCACACCGCGGGCAGGUGAGGCGUCUGCUACAGGCCUGGUCUCGCAGAGGGGGCCCAGCGCCCCCCGCCGCCGCCUUCUCCUGGAGUCUGUGUGACAGAAUGGGACCUGUGGGAAAGCAGCACGUCAGCACCCAGCCCCGCUUGCGCGCCAGCAGCUAAUUAAAGCCAGGAAGGUGAUGGCGAUUUUCAACUCAUUCCCGUUACAAACAGCCGACCUUCCUACCGAGUUCAAGUACCUUCUGCCUGGCCUGGAAGAACAAUAUCUCUCUGUCUCCCUCUUCCACUGGCCCUCACCUGCCUUCCCCUGAACAUGCAUUUUGCCUGACAGGAGACAGAGGCAGUUGAGAUGGAGUCUUGCUAUAUGGCCCAGCUGGUAAUGCCUAGAUUCUUGAGUCCCUCCCUGGCUCAUCCCUGGGAGCAGCACUGAACCCCUUGUCUGACACCUGUCUGGAAAUGGAGCCUGCACAUUGACCCUAGCCAUGUGUGGUCUUGUUACUAAGUGUUAGCCAGUGAGAGAACAUACAAGAGGAGGCCCAUGUUGAUUCAGAGGAUGAAUGAGAGAUGCUUGCAGCUUGGUCCAGGAGGCCAGCAGGACCAGAGAGAAGACCACAGCGACACAUGGGGAUGGCUGUCCCACAGGCAGAAAUGAGCAGCCGGGAGGAAGCCCAGGCAGCCAGCCACCCAGCUCCCUCCACAUCGUGGCCCUAGAACGGAGUCUUGAAGAAUAAGAAGCCACAGCUUGUCAGGGAAUCAGGCUGGAAAAAUGUUAUGAGACUGAGUAAGACCAGAGUUUCUGGGUCAUUGGUGAGACUGGAUUUCAUAGAAGAGUCUUUGCUACAGCAAAACCUCUCUUCAAGCAAUACACUAUUCAAGCUGCUGGAGGCUAGAUUGACCAGAAAAAUGGGGCCAAUAUCAUGAUUCCUCAGCAGUGCCUGGAGAAGACCAGGAGAGGAAGCAGAAGACCCUCCUCAAAGAAGCAGCCUUCACCUCCAGACCUCCCAGCGGGACUUAGACAAUGGGGUUAGGCAGUCACAUGUCUGCACGUGGAAACUUUCUGGGACUGUGCUUGGAUCCUGGCUCUGCCUUUUACUAGCCAUGUGACCUUGGGAAAAUCACUUGACUUCUCCGUGCAGGAUUCCUCAUCUGUAAAAAUGGUCUAAGAUUAGGAGCCACCUCAAGGUUGUUGUAGGAAUUAAAUUAAUUCAUGUUUAUAAAGUGCUUUGAACAGCGUUUGGCACAUGGUAAGUGCUAUGUGGUAAGUGCUGUCUAUUGAUUACAUAAAUAAAAGUGAUCACCAUUAGACUUUCCAUGCAGAUGAUAUUAUGCAUAUACAUAUCUCCCGCAUAUGACGUCAUUGGAUCGUUUUGCAAUGGUGGGGGGUUUAUUCUUUUCCUUUUUGUUUUCUUCUUUUUUUUGUCAGAUGAAGAAACUGAUGGGAAGUGAAUUGGUUUGUAUUAAACAUUAGGUUUGCUAGGUCUCUCACAUAUUUAUUUAGUCCUCAUAACAAUUGUAUAAAAUAAAUAUUAUUUAUUCAUUUAUUUAUUUGUAAAGAUGGGUCUCGCUAUGUUGCCCAGGCUGGUCUUGAACUCCCGGGCUCAAGUGAUCCUCCUGCCUUGGACUUCCAAAAUAUUGGGAUUAAAGGUAUGCGCUACUGCACCCGGCCUAAAAGAAAUACUAUUAUCCCCAUUUUACAGAUUUGUAAACAGAAGCUGACACUUCAGAGUUCCAUCCUAAUGAAAGUAGGAUGUGACAGGGGAGCAAAUCUGCUUUGCCCCUGCCCAAGGGCUGGCAGCUCCUCCUCCUGGGGUGCAUGGUGAGUGGGUACACCACUCAUCUGUAUGUACCCGGCAGAAGCUGUCAAUUCAGUUCACGUCACUCAAGUUGAAUGGAUGUAAAACACACACAGAAGCACCAAGUAAUUGCAUUGUUUUCAAAUUACUCACCUCUAGGAGAAUUAAAUGAGCAAACGGAAGAGCAGCAACCCUGAGUUACAUUUCUCAAGACACCGGGGCUCUUGAUGGCACAGCAGCAGCUUGCUAGAGCUUGGUAAAGAGACUUGGGCCUGGUACCUGAAGGGCAAUUCCUUGGCCAUGACAUUGUAGGGAAAGACCUCUAUGGGUGUUGAAAAGACAAGGCGAGGACAAGAAGAGUUGAAAAGGAGCUGUUCUGAAGCCACCUGGCUGUGGAUGGAGGAAGCCACAUGUAGCUUAGGUAGCCUGCUAUUGUAAUUUUUUCUGCAACUGAAGAAUUCGAAAUGGGUUUGGUGGGUAGCGAAGGGCAGAAUCUGGCUUCAAGGUGACAGAGUUUGCAUAGAGAUGGCCUUCUUGAGCAAAGGUAGUGACUCCUACAUUUUUUUUUUUUGUAGAGUUGUGAUACCCAUGAGUUAGUCAGCUUGGGCUAUCAUAACAAAAUACCACACAUUGGUUGGCUUAAACAACAGAAAUUCAUUUUCCUGUAAUUCUGGAGGCUGGAAGUCCAAGAUCAAGGUGACGACAGAGUUGGGUUUCCUCUGAAGCCUCUCUCCUUGGUUUUCAGAUGGGUGUCCUCUUGCUGUCUCUUCAUGUGACUGUCCCUCUGCAUGUGUGCCCCUGGGGACUCUUUCUUAUCUUAUAGUGACACUAGUUCUAUUGGAUUGAAGUGUACCCAUACGACCUCAUUUAAACUUAAUUACAUAUUGUAAGGCCCUAACUUCAAAUACAGUCACAUCCUGAGGUACUGUGUAUUAGGGCUUCAACAUAUAAAUUUUGGGGCAAUCCAGUUCAGCCCAUAAAAUCCCUUUUUGGUUGCUUGAUUCUGUUUAUUUGGUGUCAUGCCUUCCUUUUCCUAAAGAACUUCAUGAAUAGAAUUACUUUCUAAGUGAAAGGAACAAAACUGAUUUUUAUUAAAAAUUAUUUUGAGAUGCUUGUGACAAAUUUUGAAGUAAGUGAAGAUUUUCCUGGAGCUUCUACAAAAUCCUGGCUGAGAAUCCCUGCUUUCUGGACAGUUGAGAAGGAAAUACACUUAGUACAGCUGUUAGAGAGAUAUAGUUGCAACCACUGAGUGCUUAUUAUCUGCCAACUUAAAUAUAUUGCCCAAGGGAAUAACAAAUAUUCUAGUGUUCUUGUUAAGUAUAUUGUCUAAGGUCACACAGCUCUUAAACAACAGCUUCAGGAUUUGAACCUGGAAUCUAUCUGACUCCUAAGUCCAGAUGCUGUUCACCACAUUAGGUUGAAGCAUGGCCAGUGUUCAUAACAUACAACUAUGUCUCCAUAUCUUUUGCUAACCAAUGUUCUUGUAUGUGCAUACCUUACAGGGCAGCCAUUCACCACAAGCCCUACUAGAUGGCUUCCUGUAAUAAGGGUAGAACAGUAGUACUCUCCUUUUGAGAAGUUAUUUGUAAUUUUGUUGGUGGGCUGACAUUUAGGCCCUGCUCUCCAGCCCCAGAGGGGAUCCCAUAACCUAGAUCAGGCCAAUGAUGAUUAUCUCCGUGACUGUAGUGGCUGGUCCAGCGGGGAGGGUCAGGCAGGUAAGCUGGCCCAACCUGAGUCCUUCUUGAGGAUUUUAGAAACUGAAGGUAGGAGAGAAAAAUUCUCUCUUUUCUUCUGGGGAACGGGAUGAAGGUGGUGGGUAGGCAGAGCUGUUGGGAUGUGGAUCCAGGGAUUCUGGAAGUCCUGUCCUCCACCAUGUAAAGAAUACAUCCUGCAGAAGGAGAGAAGGGAGCCAGCACACAGAGAAGCAGAGUCAGGAGAUGGAGAAGGAGAAUCCUGAGAGCCUGAAGGUCCCUGGGUCCAGCCAUUGUCAAGGCCGAGUUCUACCGUCCUUAAGUUGUUUACCUUUCUUUCUUGCUUGCUUCUGUUAGAAGAUGAACACUCAAUGAAAAAUCACCAAACAUCUGAGGAAAGCCAUCAAAAUGAAAUAAACGAAACACACAAGUUCCUAAACACAAGUGAACAGCGUGGGCUGGGUUUUUGUCGCUUGGAACUGGAAACGCUGACGAUAAUGCUGACCUCUGAGCAGACCCACGUGAGGGGCAGCUGUGGUGUGGUGUGAUGAUGCUGGGAUAGGCACUCAGAUGGUUGAGUCUGAGUUUGGCUCUGAUAUUAUAUCAACUGCAUGGGCAGCUGUGGUGUGGUGUGAUGAUGCUGGGAUAGGCACUCAGAUGGUUGAGUCUGAGUUUGGCUCUGAUAUUAUAUCAACUGCAUGGGCAGCUGUGGUGUGGUGUGAUGAUGCUGGGAUAGGCACUCAGAUGGUUGAGUCUGAGUUUGGCUCUGAUAUUAUAUCAACUGCAUGGGCAGCUGUGGUGUGGUGUGAUGAUGCUGGGAUAGGCACUCAGAUGGUUGAGUCUGAGUUUGGCUCUGAUAUUAUAUCAACCGCAUCAUUUUGGGGAAGACACAAUUUCUCAGAAUUUUAUUUAGUUGUAAAAUAAAGAUAAUGAUAUUACAUGCUCUGUCUACCAUCUAGAGUUUUUGUCAAGACAAAC
rnacentral:lncRNA from 10 species